rnacentral:rRNA from 1 species
AGAACGAACGCUGGCGGCAUGCCUAAUACAUGCAAGUCGAACGAACUCUUCGGAGUUAGUGGCGCACGGGUGCGUAACGCGUGGGAAUCUGCCCUUGGGUUCGGAAUAACAGUUGGAAACGACUGCUAAUACCGGAUGAUGACGAAAGUCCAAAGAUUUAUCGCCCAGGGAUGAGCCCGCGUAGGAUUAGCUAGUUGGUGAGGUAAAAGCUCACCAAGGCGACGAUCUGUAGCUGGUUUGAGAGAACGACCAGCCACACUGGGACUGAGACACGGCCCAGACUCCUACGGGAGGCAGCAGUGGGGAAUUUGGACAAUGGGCGAAAGCCUGAUCCAGCAAUGCCGCGUGCAGGAAGAAGGCCGUCGGGUUGUAAACUGUCUUUGUA